GGGGGGGGGGGGGGGGGGGGGGGGGGGGGGGGGGGGGGGGGGGGGGGGGGGGGGGGGGGGGGGGGGGGGGGGGGGGGGGGGGGGGGGGGCCCUGGUUUUGCCGCCCCGCUCCCGGCAGAAGGACGGGCUGAUGGCGCUGGGUUUGCCGGCCCCAGGCCCGGCAGAAGGACGGGCUGAUGGCGCUGGGUUUGCCGGCCCCAGGCCCGGCAGAAGGACGGGCUGAUGGCGCUGGGUUUGCCGGCCCCAGGCCCGGCAGAAGGACGGGCUGAUGGCGCUGGGUUUGCCGGCCCCAGGCCCGGCAGAAGGACGGGCUGAUGGCGCUGGGUUUGCCGGCCCCAGGCCCGGCAGAAGGACGGGCUGAUGGCGCUGGGUUUGCCGGCCCGCGGCCCAUGCGGGUGUCCGGACCUUUGCGGCACAGAGACAGCACUCACAGAAUCGCGGGAUGGGGCAGGUUGGAAGGGACAACAGUGGUCUCCUGAUCCAACUUCCCUUGCUCAGGCGGGGUUAUCCUAGAGUACACAGUCGCCAGGGUUUGCUCAACUCUGGGUGAUGAUGAGGAAUGUGGCUCGGGAGAAUCCGAUGGAGUUGUUCGUCCCUCCGUUCUGUUGGAAUAAUUUAUCUCUUCCCUGCUUUUGGCAGGCAGCUGGUGAAGCUCGGCUUCAGAUUUAGUUGCCACCAACAGAUGUGACCACAAAGACGCAGGUCAGGUUGGCUGGCAUCAAAUUUGGGUAUCUCAAGUGCAGGUUGACAGGUGUGUCUAGAUCCCAGCUAGAGGUGUUUAAUUUCCUUUAGGGAAGGGUUUACGCUUGAAAAGGAAGUCUCUUGUUUUGAGACAACUAACUUGAAGCAAAUUAGUCUUGCUAAUUCAUGUUAAGAAAGCUUGUUUGUUUGGGUGUUUUAAAUCUCACGUUGAAAAGGCAAUUAAUUGUUUUUAUAAGCAGCAUGGUGGUACUCUGUCAAAAAAUCCCAUUUGAAAAUUUUUGAGUAAAAAUGGAAGGUUCUGAAACUAGUCCUUAUGUUGUUGUCUUCUGAAUUGCUAUAUGGGCCUUACACUUAGGCUAUAAUUGGUACCUGUAACAAUUCAAUUGGUAAGGUUGUUUUCUAUAUGAAUAUAUUAAUGAAAGAUAAAUAUACUGGUAC
rnacentral:lncRNA from 12 species